UCCGCACCUAAGCCCGACCAAGGCGAAAGUUACAAAGUAGGUGACAUUGGCGUAGCAGAAUUAAAUAUUUCAAAGACAUCUGGUAUUGCUACAAAGACUUUGAAGGAUUGUUCGGGAGCCGUAGAACUGGAUCUGCUGGCAAAGACUACUGCUACAAGGCCUGGGCGCACUAACUACGUGAUACAGCUGCCAGAUUCUGGGAACACAGUCGUGGAAUUAAAGGCGGGACUCGGACUGCCUGACAGGCUGUUUGAUAC